CCCGGGAGCAACCAAACCCACACACGUGUCGACACGAUGACCUGGGUGCCGGUGGUUCUGCCACGGGUUGGUCAUUGGGAUACGUGGAGGCUUAAC
rfam:Pseudomonas rhizosphaerae strain DSM 16299, complete genome.